rnacentral:rRNA from 1 species
CGUGCUUAACACAUGCAAGUCGAACGGUAAGGCCCUUUCGGGGGUGCUCGAGUGGCGAACGGGUGAGUAACACGUGGGUGAUCUGCCCUGCACUUCGGGAUAAGCUUGGGAAACUGGGUCUAAUACCGGAUAGGACCAUGAGGCGCAUGUUUUGUGGUGGAAAGCUUUUGUGGUGUGGGAUGGGCCCGCGGCCUAUCAGCUUGUUGGUGGGGUGAUGGCCUACCAAGGCGACGACGGGUAGCCGGCCUGAGAGGGUGUCCGGCCACACUGGGACUGAGAUACGGCCCAGACUCCUACGGGAGGCAGCAGUGGGGAAUAUUGCACAAUGGGCGCAAGCCUGAUGCAUGCGACGCCGCGUGGGGGAUGACGGCCUUCGGGUUGUAAACCUCUUUCACCAUCGACGAAGGCCUGGCUUUUGUUGGGUUGACGGUAGGUGGAGAAGAAGCACCGGCCAACUACGUGCCAGCAUGCCGCGGUAAUACGUAGGGUGCGAGCGUUGUCCGGAAUUACUGGGCGUAAAGAGCUCGUAGGUGGUUGUCGCCGUUGUUCGUGAAAUUCCAUGGCUG